CAUGGCCUCUGUGGUGAGCAGCACUACCAGCAGAGUCUGGAUCAAGCUUUAUUGGCAGCUCAUCAUUGAACAAGACAUGCUGAUUGUUCCUUGUUCUAGGCUGCAGAUACCAUGGGACUGCAAUAUCAGAAUUCCCAGCUGCCCAGAACAUCUCCCACGCUUUGCUGCUGUUAAGCUGAGAAGUGGAUUCUUCAUGACUACUUUGCUGUAUCUGAGUCCUGUGCAGCUUUGGCAGUGAGAGAGAGGACAACUCCAGGAACCUCAGGCAAAGCUCUCUGUAUCCUGCAACCAUUAAACCCUGACAUCAGGAUCUCACACCAAUGGCAUCCG
ensembl:lncRNA